rnacentral:lncRNA from 10 species
UUUUGAGACGGAGUCUCGCUCUGUCUCCCAGGCUGGAGUGCAGUGGCGCGAUCUCGGCUCACUGCAAGCUCCACCUCUCAAGUUCACGCCAUUCUCCUGCCUCAGCCUCCCAAGUAGCUGGGAUUACAGGCGCCUGCCACCACACCCAGCUAAUUUUUUGUAUUUUCAGUAAAGAUGGGGUUUCACCGUGUUAGCCAGGAUGGUCUCAAUCUCCUGACCUCGUGAUCCGCCUGCCUCGGCCUCCCAAAGUGCUGGGAUUACAGGCGUGAGCCACCACGCCCGGCCCAAGUGAAGAUGAAUCUUAGACCUAAAUGUAAAACCGAAAACUAUAA